rnacentral:rRNA from 1 species
UUCCGGUUGAUCCCGCCGGACCUGACUGCUAUCGGAUUGAUACUAAGCCAUGCGAGUCAUUGCAGCAAUGCAAGGCAGACGGCUCAGUAACGCGUAGUCAACCUAACCUAUGGACGGGAAUAACCUCGGGAAACUGAGAAUAAUGCCCGAUAGAACACUAUACCUGGAAUGGUUUGUGUUCCAAAUGAUUUAUCGCCGUAGAUGGGACUGCGGCCUAUCAGUUUGUUGGUGGGGUAAUGGCCCACCAAGACUAUUACAGGUACGGGCUCUGAGAGGAGUAGCCCGGAGAUGGGUACUGAGACACGGACCCAGSCCCUAUGGGGCGCAGCAGGCGAGAAAACUUUGCAAUGCGCGAAAGCACGACAAGGUUAAUCCGAGUGGUUUCUGCUAAAGGAACCUUUUGUUAGUCCUAGAAACACUAACGAAUAAGGGGUGGGCAAGUUCUGGUGUCAGCCGCCGCGGUAAAACCAGCACCUCAAGUGGUCAGGAUGAUUAUUGGGCCUAAAGCAUCCGUAGCCGGCUCUGUAAGUUUUCGGUUAAAUCUGUACGCUCAACGUACAGGCUGCCGGGAAUACUGCAGAUCUAGGGAGUGGGAGAGGUAGACGGUACUCGGGAGGAAGUGGUAAAAUGCUUUGAUCUCUCGAUGACCACCUGUGGCGAAGGCAGGUCUACCAGAACACGUCCGACGGUGAGGGAUGAAAGCUGGGGGAGCAAACCGGAUUAGAUACCCGGGUAGUCCCAGCUGUAAACUAUGCAAACUCAAUGAUGCAUUGGCUUGUGGMCAAUGCAGUAUUGCAGGGAAGCCGUUAAGUUUGCCGCCUGGGAAGUACUAUCGCAAGAUAGAAACUUAAAGGAAUUGGCGGGGGAGCACCACAAGGGGUGAAGUCUGCGGUUCAAUUGGAUUCACCGCCGGGA